CAUCUAUUUUAUUUUUAUUUAAGCAACAGGUAAAUCAAGUCGAAUGUGUGCCAGAUAUCUUUCUAAGCAUUUUAAAUGUCUCCACUUGCCUAAGCCUCACAAUGACCCUGUAACGUGGAUGCUGUUCAUAUUCUCAUCCUGCCGAUGAGAAAACUGAAGCAGAGAAAGGUUAGGUAUCUUGCCCAAGGCAGCACAGCUGGAAGGGAGUAAGACUGGGAUUCUUCCCUGACAGUCUGGCCCCAGAGUCUAUGCUCUUAACUGCUCUGCUAAGCUGCGUCAACCUUCUCCCCAGUAAGACAGAUCCUCUCUGGCCCUUGUAUUUUUUUCCAACCUGGCCAGGCUUCCAUGUCCUACGUUAGUGUCAGAGCAGGGCAGUCAGGCUAACGGAGCAUUUUUAAUAAGAGAACGGCAUAGCCGGAUUACUCGCGUAAUCAGCUCUAGCCUCAAAGCCUCAGGAUGAAAAGCUUCAGAUGAAAUCAACCCCAGUCAGUGUCCCUGAUGAGGAAUAAAAGAUGUGAAGGAUCCUGCUGCCUGAAAAGAAAGUCAACACAGAAUCAUUUUUCUCAUCUCAUCUAGCGCAAAUUUAAAAUUUUCCUUGGAAAUGUUUUUGCCUCCUUGAUUUGUCUCUGGUUUUCUACUUUCCUUCAGUGUUACCUUUUCAGCCCACCCCUCCUCCAUCACCCACAUGCCAGGCAUGUCCCUCUCUUGUAAAGGGACGCACCCAAGAUGAGCCAGACAGCUGACCUCUCUAGACCUCAGAUUUUCCUCUGUAAAGUCAGCGGUUUGCAUUGAGGAUCUCAAAUUAAGAUGCCACCCAGCCUUUGUAUAGGGAUUUGCAGUUUGUAAGCUACUUCAGUGUCCAUUAUUUUAUCCUCUCUCCCAGUGACUGACUGGUAGGCCCAGCAGGUAGGUUAUCCUCAAUUUUCAGGAGAGGGCACUGAGGUGCCUCUGCAGCAGAGAGAACUGAGAUCUACUGCUUAGAAGCCCAGAACUUCUUCCUCUUCACUUCCCAGCAUCUCUAUGGGCCCGUUCAAGCUCAUAGUCUACACUUCUAUGCCUGCCUCCCAGGCCCCUGUCCCUGGCUAGGACAGGUCUCUGGAAGCUGAAGCUGGCUGCCACAGCAUCCUGGCUCCCGGAGACAUUUAAGAGGCUCACUUGGUACCUGAAGACUGCAGUGAUGAAAGUUCUCCCUUUAAUUUUCAUCCUCAUGAGUCUGGACCAUCAGAGACCACAAACAGAUGUCAAAUUUGGCCUGGGUUUGGUGGGAGUCACAUCUGGUUGGCCUUUUCCCAGCCUGCUAUUUCCCUCCACAGCUGGUUGUCAUGGAGGCUGCAGGCCUGCCUGUAGGGAUGGGUGUGGGGGCGGGUGGUGAGGGAGCUGAAGGAUUAUUUGGAUCCUGGAUUGGCUCACCCUCUGGCUUUCAUCUGUCUCGUCAUGUAUAUCUGACAUGUUUUUACAUGUGCACUGGGCCAUGCAUCUUGAACCUUCCAAAAAGUCCUCAUCUACAUAAUGGGAGUCAUUGGCUGAAGAGGGAAAGAACUAACAUGAUUCAAAACCCAUGGCAGUCAGGUAAAUAUGAAGACUCAUAACGCACAGAGCUUGGGGCCCAAAGGGUGCACCCUGCUUAGAGUUAAAAGAUACCCACCUGCCUGAAACUGUUCUAAUUUACACCUGCUGUUCGGCUGUCAUUUUUAAUAGCAGCUUCUUUCACUCCCCAAAGUUUCCUACUUUGGACAAUAAAUCACAUGAAUACAUUAUCUGUGAUGUGAGAUCAAAGACCGUCAAACUACAGAAUCUCUAAACGGAAAGGCUUGCCAAAGACCUUUAAGCGCAACAUCCCUUCCAGUGCUUGGAAUCCCCUUCUAAACAUGACAACAGACUUCAGCUCUAUUAAGCAGUGCAUUUGGACCCACAGCGUCAUAAAGAUUUUGAGGUCACUUCCUAUGUAUCUGUUUUGUCUCAGUAGUUUGUAACAUUAGAAGACAUCAUAAACAUUAAUGAGGGAGAGAAUGAUCCUAGAAUAACUUGGUCACAAAUGAUGCAGAGCUAUUUAGCAGAAAGGAGAAUUCCUGAGUGCCCCACUAUGCACCAUACACCAUGGUAAGAUGUUUUUUCUCCAGUAGAUCCACGUUGGGAGCAAAGUUGAGAAACAGGGAUAAGUUCCCCCCUUACAAGUGAGAAAAUUGAAGCAAAAAAAAUUUAAGCAUAAGGCUCAAGAUUCUAAAAGCUAACAACCAUCGGCAGGACUGAGAUUUGAACCCUACUCUUCCUGACCCCAAGGGCCACACACCUGUUGCUCCUAGUGGAGCCCAUGGCUUUCCACUUGGCGCCCCUCCCCAUUUCCUGUCUCCACCGACGCUCGAGGUGGGAAAGCAAAAAGUGCCAAAGCUACUGCUCACCUUUUGUGCCAGGCAGCUUCUCCCACAACCUGUCAAUUCCUGCAGAACACACUUCUUCAAUGAAGGGCAGACGCGGGCACCAAGCUAAAGAAAUUCUAUUACUAGUAUCUGCUUUUGGCGCAGUCCAGAUCUAAUGUGAAAUGGCAUUGAAUGGUGAACAAAGGCAUUAAAUAAUGUCAGUAAACUCUCUCCUUUGGAGGGAAAGGCAGGGACUGAGACAAAGAAGGAGAAAAGGCACUCGGAGCUGCUCAGUGGCCCUAGAGCAACAGUGCCACGGCCCCAUUUCCUGCCUGUGAUAUCACUUCAGAGCAAUUGUUUUCUUCUGUGAAGACACUUCAAAAGAUUCUUAGAGACAGAGGCUCUUGCGACUGGCCAGAGCAAGUAACAAAAGGCCUGGGGAGAAUUACGAAGCAUUUCUCGUGCCCCGUAGACUGGGAAGUGCUUCAUAGCCGUGUGGCAGAUAUGAGUGGGCAGGGCAGCCUGGGAGCUGCCCCAAAGGAGGUGGCAGAGGAAGCAGCAAGCCAGGAGAUCAGCACAGCUUGCAGAGGUUUGCAGGUGAAGCCAAGGUUGGGGGUGAUGGAAAACUAACAUCACCCCUAUUAAAUAAAAGUCUGAGGAAACUAUGAGAAGGAAAGCAAGAGUGAUUCAAAAUAUUGCCAACCACUACCUUUAAGUUCAGCUGUGGGUGUGCAAGUCCGUGUGUGUGCAUGUGCUUGUGUGUCCCUGUUACAUUAAUUCUACACAUAUUUGCAGCGUGCCUACCAUACAUUGGUCGGCACUAAGGGCUUGGUCCCUGUCCUGGCAGAGCAUCCAGUAUCACAGACAUUAUGUUCUGUUCCUAGGUCCCAGGUUUGGGGGCAACUUGGCUGAACAGCUCAGGGACCAGGUUCAAGUCCUUUUACACCUAUUAGAAUCUCAGGUAGGAUUUUCCAAAGUGCAAUCUUGGAGUAUUAUGUAGUGAGGUGUUUUACUUUAAUUGCUUUGUAAUUACUUAACGUGUGACUAUCCCAUUAGACCCAGUGUUUUCAUGGGUGUUUUGACUUAAGCAAGGCUAGGUAAAAACAAUAAAUUAAGCAAAUCAUAUCAGAGGUGGUACAAAGAAACAGCAAAAAUUGUGAAAAGUCAACUCAGAGUACUAAUGUUUCAAAUCCCUGAAAUAACGUGUAUGAAAAUAAAAACGCACAUGGCCCGUGGAAAUAGAAGAGGCUGUCAUUACCCCUCAGUGGGCAUUUGCUCCCUCCUGCCCCCAAACAAUGAUGAAUGAAGCAAAGAUCUUAGGAGAGCACUGCUCUGAAUGCACGUGCCCCUGCCGACAGUUCCACCAUUAUUCAAAAGGCACUAAGUGUGCGCUGAUGCCUCAGGAAACUUAACAAAAGAGUGAGAGCUAGUCCCUGGUCUAAAAAGAGUAUAAUUUAGGAGGAAAGAAAAGACAAACCCACAAAUAACUGUAAAAUGAGAUAAUCCCCAAAGAGGAGGUACAGAGUCCCCAUAGGAGGUGCUCAAACGAUGAAUAAGUCACGCCUGCUGGACGAGGUCAAGAAAGACUUCAUGGAGAUUUGAGAUGGCAUUUGAGAUAAGCCUGGAAAGAUGGAUAAAAUUUCAGUGGCCCCAAAUUCCAGAGACAGAGGAACACUUGAGCAAAUGACACGAAGCCUGGAAAGUGGUUGCAGGAUAGACAGUUUCUUCUACAUAGCUGAGAUGUAGAAGACAAGGCAGGCAGAUGAUGAGGUGGGAUUAUAGAAUAACAGGGCUGGAGGAGCAGACUUCACAUCACGGAAAUAGGGUCAGGGGUAAUGGAGAGUUUAAAACAUGAUUAGAUCUUCUCUGGAGAAACCUAAACCUGAAAAUGGACUGAAAGUAGAGUUUACUGUCACCCCAGCCUUGGUUACUGUGACAGCCUAGGAGAAGUGCAAUAAAAAUGUGAGUUUGUAGGACCAAAAUGACAGCUUUUCAAAGAGACUGUCUAGGACCUGGGAAUUGAUUUGUGGUGGAGACCUGGAUAAGGAAGAUGCAAGGAAAACUAGGUAACUAGAUCCCUCCCACUCCUCUCAUAUAUAUUAAUAAUAUAUUUGCUUUAUUGUAAUAAAUAUAUUAAUAUACUAUAUUAAUAUGAUACUAAUAACACUAUCUUACAUAUCAGUGUAUUCAGACACAUGUACAUAUAUAUACACAUGUAUGCAUAUAUAUAAUGUAUAAAAUAUGUUACACAAUAUAAUGCACAUAUUAUAUAUUACAUAUAAUGAACCAUUGCCAUUUGGUAGAUUUCGCCUUGAUUUUUUGCUAUGCUUAGGUUUGCAUGUGUGACUAUGCAGAUAUCAAGCCACCUAUUUUCUCUUCCGAAAUAAGGAUCAUCUUCUUGGUUUUCUUUUCACUUCCCCUGGUCUUUUCUCCUGAAUACCCUCCUAUCCUGAGGCUAACCUCAUCCCCUAAGGCAUUUAUAUUUCUAUUCCAUCACUUGCAAGGGUUUGCCUUGGCCUACAACUUCAAUAUUAAAAGUAGAGAACCACUUCUUUUUGCCAUCUUGGAUCAGAGAUAGAGAUGGAUGACAAAGCCAGGGUCAUGGACAUGUGAUGUUGCUGGAUUUGGAGACAGAGGAACAUGGGCAGCCUCUGGACACUGGAAAAGACAAGGACACUAGUUCUCCCUGAGAGCCUCCAGAAGGACGCAGCCAGAAGGCACACAAAAAUGAUGUUCUGCCUCCUCCACUACCGGUAUGGCUCAUGGCCUGAGGAAGUCACUCAAACUCUCAUGGGGGUGACACCUUGCCAGAGACUGUCAGAAAGUUCAAUUAAAUCUCACACCCAGUGGACGUCCCUUGUUUCUCAUGCACAGGCCAGUCAGUAGGAAGGGUCAGGGCUUCUUCAAAAAUGGCUGAUUAAACAUCACUUUAUCAGAUCAUGUCCCUUUUAUGUUCAAAAGCUUCCAGAUGCUCCUCAUCUUACAGAACAACCUAAAACUUCCCCUGUUCUCAAGGCCUUCAUGACACAAUAUGAUCCCCAUUUCCUCUCUGACUGUAUCUUGUUCUACUUUUCCCUUGCUGACUUUGCUCCAGCCAUGCUAGCUACCUUGCUGUUUGGGGAGGCAGUUUCCAGCCUCAGGACAUUUUCACUUGCUGUGUUCCCUGUCUAGAAUCCUCUUCUCCCCACAUGGCUUUCUCUCUCAACUCCUUCAGAUGGUCAUUCAUAUACUACCUUCCUUCUGAGGCCUUCUGAGGUUCAGCUUCAUUGCAGGAACCCGCAACCAAACACUCCUCAUCCCCCUCCUCUAGUUUCCUCCACAGCACUUCCAUCUGCUAACACAAUACAUAUUUCAUUAAUUCCAUUAGAAUGCAAGCUCUGUGAGGGCUCUUCAGGAAGACAUAGAAUAGGUAUGUUAAAAAUACUUGUUGGAUUAGUGUGUACACAAAUCUAUAAUCAGGAGAUAACCAUCAGCAUGGUCUCCCAUUAAAGGCAUCUCCUUUCACUUACGGAUGGAAAAUGAAGUCAGGAGAAUGGUAAUCAACCUAUCAUUGAAUGAUGAAGCUGCAGCUAAGAUCAAGUCCUUGAAGAUCUUGCAGAGCCCAAUCAGCUCAAAGGAAGAGUGAAAACAUGGUCAAGGGUCCCAAGACCAGUUCUUGUCUCUCAGACAGAGAGAACCCAGAGAAAGCUGGCCUUCCUAUUUCCCCUCCUUCCUGGUCUCACCCAGUCUCUAAAAACCAUAAGAACAGUUUGUCUCAAUAUUUCAGUACUUCCGCUUCCAGGCCCAGGAAAGAGCAGGAAGUGUGGGGGUGUGUGAAAAUUGAGAGAGAAAAAUUAAACCCACUACACGUAAAGGGCUCAAAGACUUCCUCUGAAGCCUGUCACAGAACACGGGUUUUAAUGUGCUUUCACUGUGAGCCCUGGGCGGGAGCGGGGGGACCAAAAACCAGUCCUAGUACUCACUCAUCCAACACAGAUUUACUUCAGGACAAUUGUGUGCCCAGAAGAAGACAAGUGGUCCUUGUCCACUCCACGGUGUUAUAAUGGUAGAAGGAUAAACUCACCUGGGGAUCUCCCUUCCCAAUAUCCAUGCUGAGUAGACUGACUUUCCAAAAGGGUCCCCAAGGGGUGCCUUAGACUGUGAGGAAUUACAUGCUGGGUUUAAGGCAAGCUUUAGAAUCUAGUCUUCGAAGACUCCAAUCUUGGCCGCACUUACUUACUAAAUGUAGGCUUCCUAAAGGAAGGACUGUGUUUAUUUCAUUUACCAUUAUGUCCCCAGCACUUAGCACAGUGCCCCAUACUCUUUAACUUGUUGCCUAAAAAAAUUAAACUCUCAGAGCCUCCAUUUCCUUGUUUGUAAAAUGAGAUUGUAAAACCCACUUUGAAACUGUGAGAGAAAAACCUGAAAUCUUCGAGUAGGUGAAGUGCUUACACAGUGCCUGGUACAGGGUAGGCAUUCAUUUAAAUGAAUGGCCAUUUGGGUGGCUAUGGUGGUGAUUCUAUGGUAGGCGAGGUUUAGUGGGCUCUGGGCAACUUGUAGCACAUUCCUGUCCUUAAUGAUUUGUUCAGUCUGGAAUUUUGGACUAAGCAUGGGCUUGAUGAGUUGGAUCUCAGGGAGAUCCAUUUCUGUUAGAAAAGUCCUGUUCAAAUUGAGCCAGAAACUCUGGAAAGGGGAAGGAUGUGUUUUACAUCCCAGCUACUGGGGUGACUGGCAGCAGAACUGAAAGAGCGUGACUAAGCACAGCCCACAUGGGGGCUGAGGUCCCUCCCUCUCGGCUGUGGGACUGCAGGGGGGAGGGGCACCAGGUUUCAUUGCAUCUGAUAAAUGGAUUGCAAAGAGCAAGGGAAGGCAAUUGGAACAUUUUCAUAGCCAUUCCUCUGUUCGUUUAUCAAAGC
rnacentral:lncRNA from 1 species